ACUAAUCUAUCUUCAGCAGUCAGCACCACGCAAACUCAGUGGAAUACUAGCCAUCUUAUCGAUCUCUCCCUCAGUAAAAAGCUCCCUCAUAAAAUCUAGCUCCCAUUAACAAAUAUGAAAUAUCAUCGUAUGAUAUCAUACCCUCUGGAACAUGGAACAAUGGGUUGUCAAUUAGGCUAAGUAGAAAAGGGACAGAAGUAUGAAUCAUGAGAAAGAUAGAGGAUUUUUUUUCGGAAAAAAAGGAAAAAGGGUUUUGGGUAGAUAAACUCGAUGGGUCGGAAGCAAAAGGCCGGCGAGAAGGUGAAAUCGAAGAAGAAGGCGAAGAAGAGAGAGGCGCUGAGAUUGAAGGAGUCGUCGUCGACCCGGCUAUGUCUUGCAACUUAUGAAUUUAAACCGUUGACUGAGGAGCAGCUGAAAUUGCUGGAUAUGAUGAAGACUCAUGAGAGAUUUACGGGGCCCUGUGAAGUUGAGGAUGAUGAUGCUUUAGGUCUCACUUCUGAUGAGGAGUACAUGUUGGCCAAAGCUGAACAACUUGAAAUCAGCGAAGCCAGAAUGCGUCAUCUCGAUCGCCUUAAAUCUGAGAGGUUUAACUACUUUGACAAAUAUCACAUGUUUGAAGAGGAAUGGGAUGAGUUGAAGAAAAGAAACCCAGAAAAAUACAAAGGUGAAUAUCCUCCCCAAAAGUAUACACCACUUCCUUGGCACAUAGACAUAGAAAAGGGCCGCGGAAGCACGGGUGGAUGUACUCACAAGGAGCUUGAUGCUAAGCCUAAAUCUCCUAAAGAAUCACCAGCUGCAACUUCUGACAGCGGCAAUGCAGUAGGUGAAUUUCCUCACAAGGAGCUUGACGCUAAGCCUGAAUCUAAAAAAGAAUCACCAACUGUAAGUUCUGUCAGCAGCAAUGCAGGUUGAAUUCCUGACUAAGAGAUGAUUUUGAGCGUGAAGCGCAUCUUUUUAAAAAAGGACUAGAAAUGCUAUAUGUACCUUGUAUGAGGUGCCUUUAUAUUGCCCUUUCCUUUGUGAUGGUGAACUGCUUAUGGCCUCUAAUAUGCGUGAACAUCAGUCGGCAAUUCUGUUGGCGGUGGUGCGUUGCUUGAGUGGCAAUCUAUUAGCUGAUUUUAUUUCUGAGAUUUCCACCACCGUUUUCGCUCGGAAAUCUUGUAUAUGAUGGGGUUGUGGUUCUGUUCAGGAUAAAAUUUUCUCUUUAGUUAUUUUUCUUCUUUUCCCCAAAUCUACAUCGCUUUCUAUGCAAAAUUAACCAAUAUGAUUUAAGUACAUCAUCCCUAUAUUUAGUAUAUUCACUCAUUGAACAAUUUCAUCAUUGGUUUAUUAUAUAAAGAAAAUGAUUCAUCGAUGUUAAUGCAUGUCCUUAAUUCGUUAAAGAAAACAAAAACAUGUCUAGAAGCUUUGCAGGUUUCUGUUCCAUUCGUCAUGCCUCUAUGCAACUCCUGAAGUGGCAUAUUUGGGUUCUUCCGAAUGGAUUUGGAUUUGUUGUUGU